UGGGGAAUUUUGGACAAUGGGCGAAAGCCUGAUCCAGCAAUGCCGCGUGUGUGAAGAAGGCCUUCGGGUUGUAAAGCACUUUUGUCCGGAAAGAAAUCCUUGGCUCUAAUACAGUCGGGGGAUGACGGUACCGGAAGAAUAAGCACCGGCUAACUACGUGCCAGCAGCCGCGGUAAUACGUAGGGUGCAAGCGUUAAUCGGAAUUACUGGGCGUAAAGCGUGCGCAGGCGGUUUGCUAAGACCGAUGUGAAAUCCCCGGGCUCAACCUGGGAACUGCAUUGGUGACUGGCAGGCUAGAGUAUGGCAGAGGGGGGUAGAAUUCCACGUGUAGCAGUGAAAUGCGUAGAGAUGUGGAGGAAUACCGAUGGCGAAGGCAGCCCCCUGGGCCAAUACUGACGCUCAUGCACGAAAGCGUGGGGAGCAAACAGGAUUAGAUACCCUGGUAGUCCACGCUCUAAACGAUGUCAACUAGUUGUUGGGGAUUCAUUUCCUUAGUAACGUAGCUAACGCGUGAAGUUGACCGCCUGGGGAGUACGUCGCAAGAUUAAAACUUAAAUGAAUUG
rnacentral:rRNA from 1 species